rnacentral:miRNA from 1 species
UUCUUACUUGCGGUGUACA